UGGGGAAUAUUGGACAAUGGGCGAAAGCCUGAUCCAGCAAUGCCGCGUGUGUGAAGAAGGCCUGAGGGUUGUAAAGCACUUUCAGUGGGGAGGAGAGGCUCUAGGCGAAAAGGCUAGAGAAGAGACGCUACCCAAAGAAGAAGCACCGGCUAACUCUGUGCCAGCAGCCGCGGUAAUACAGAGGGUGCGAGCGUUAAUCGGAAUUACUGGGCGUAAAGGGUGCGUAGGUGGUUGAAUAAGUUAGGUGUGAAAGUCCCGGGCUUAACCUGGGGACAGCGCCUAAGACUGUUUAGCUAGAGUACUGUAGAGGGAGGUGGAAUUUCCGGUGUAGCGGUGAAAUGCGUAGAUAUCGGAAGGAACAUCAGUGGCGAAGGCGACUUUCUGGACAGAUACUGACACUGAGGCACGAAAGCGUGGGGAGCAAACAGGAUUAGAUACCCCCGUAGUCC
rnacentral:rRNA from 1 species